rnacentral:misc_RNA from 1 species
GAUGAAGAACGUAGCGAAAUGCGAUAAGUAAUGCGAAUUGCAGAAUUUCCGUGAGUCAUCGAAUCUUUGAACGCACAUUGCGCCCCCUGGUAUUCCGGGGGGCAUGCCUGUCCGAGCGUCAUUGCUGCCCUCAAGCACGGCUUGUGUGUUGGGCCCCCGCCCCCCGGCUUCGGGGGGCGGGCCCGAAAGGCAGCGGCGGCACCGCGUCCGGUCCUCGAGCGUAUGGGGCUUCGUCACCCGCUCUGUAGGCCCGGCCGGCGCCCGCCGGCGACCCCAAUCAAUCUUUCCAGGUUGACCUCGGAUCAGGUAGGGAUACCCGCUGAACUUAAGCAUAUCAAUAAGCGGAGGA